UGUGUGUGUGUGAUGCCAAAAAUAAUUAUUAAAUUUUAUUCUAAUAUAAUGUCAUUCCACUCCUAAAAAUGUUUUGAACGACCUAUUUUAUUAUCUUGAAGAUAGAGUUUUUGCCUGGCUGGCAUUCAUAUUUCUUAAAAAUCUUCGGUCAGUUAAUCACUUCGGCCAGUUAAAGUUUUAGUUAAAAAGAAAAUAAAACUUUAACUAGUUGAAGUAUCUAUUUUUUAAAGUUGUCACAACCUUGUCUUUUUUUUUUUGCAUAAUUUCCCAUUGGAGAUAGUAUUUUGAUCAUUUCUAAGUCUGAUGUUAAGUUUUACAGCAUAUGUAAAUCAUUGAUAAAUCGAACCUUUUGUGUUUAUACUCUUUUCAUGUAAAUAUGGUGUCUCAUCAAGAUGGUAAGUUCAUCUAAAAGACAAAACGAUAUUGGGUUGGUAAAUAAUUAUUGUACACUCUUUCAUUAAAUUGUUAUUUGGAAGCAUAUUCAUUAUCUUCUUCUUUCUUAUCUCCACUCAAUCACACUAAGGUAUCAAGCUUGUAAAGCUUGAGACUUUUGAUGGUGUCUGCCAGGGAAGAGUACAGCUCAUUAAGGGAUGAGUCAAUACAGUCAAUAAUGUGUCUUGGGGUUGCAGGCUGAGAAUUGCACUUAGUAUAUAGUGGGAAAACACUGCAACCAUUCUGGAAAGUCAUUGUCCGUAGAUGACCAGACUUAAGUCUGGAAAUCAAAGACUGUUGUUCUCUUGGGAGGGCAGUACCGGUGCUUGUCCCUCCUGCUCUGUACCAGUCAUGUGCAGCAUUAGAUUUACAUUCCUGCAGGCAUUGGGUUUUGAUGGUACGGAGGAGGUACGCAUAUUCAUUAUCUAGUUCAUUUACUUUUUAAUAAAAAUAAACAAGGCCACGUGCUAUUUUUUUUUAUUUCUUUAGCUUUCAGACAAAGAUACCCUUCAACAGAAGAACUUUUUCCGCAUGAAUAGUUAUCUGCAAGUCAUACUUCUAACCUUUUUAUGAACAAUCUUGGUAGCGUGUAGCACCUUGGUACUUUGAUAUAGUGAAUUACGGUUUGUCUGCUUGCUAUAUCCAUUCUUGGGCUGAAAAUUCAUGUACUAUGGUUAGUAGCCUGUAAUACCAUGUUCUCUCUGUAUAUUAUCUUACAAGCGUUAUAUAUAUGUGAUCAUAUUAGUUUAUGUCAUAGAAGACACUCCUUCAAAUGAUUCAAAUUAUAAUCAAUAUUCUCUCUCUCUCUGUGGGAAAGAACUCUCGCAGUCCACCGGUGGCGGGGUCUUUCCCGCAGUGGGGGGUAACCAAUGACGACUUGUAUAUAUUUAUAUGUAUGUAUAUUUAUCAAUCUAUCUAUAUAUAUAUAAAUGAAUGUAUGUGUGUCUGUCUGUCCUUUAUGCCUGACCAAACCACUCAUUGGAAUGCCAUGAAACUUUGGGAAGUUAUUUAGUAUAGUACUGGGAAGGUUUCUAGCAAAUAAAAUUUUUGAAAUAACUUUUCGCUUUAAAAUAAUCAAGAUAAAUAUUCUAAUUUAUCUGUUAUAUUUCAACAAUCUGCUCUAAAUAUUAUCAUGAUGAUACGAUGAUUUUGUAAUGUAGAAAAUUAGGAAAGACAAAAUUCAGGAUGACACGGCAAUUUAUUUGAGACAAGAAUAAUGAUACAAUUCCAAAGCAAAGAUACUAUUCUUUUAACUUCCAAUUACCGAGGGAACCAAUUAAUAUUGAUUUUAUUCAACUUAUCGAGUAUUUUUCAAGGGACCGGGAAAAAAUGUUCACUAGAUAAAACGAUGAUUUUGUAAUGUAGAAAAUUAGGAAAGACAAAAUUCAGGAUGACACGGCACACAGGGACCGGGAAAAAAUGUUCACUUUAUCGAGAGAUUCAAAUUUACGAUUUUCAAAUUAUCAAAAUAUAUAUAUUUUUUAUAUAUAUAAGUUUAUAGAGAAUUGUUUUAACAAAUGUUCGUUAGACAAACCUUUACUCGGGUAAAACCCGGGUGAAGCCGGGUACGUCCGCUAGUAUAUAAAUGAAUGUAUGUGUGUCUGUCUGUCCUUUAUGCCUGACCAAACCACUCAUUGGAACGCCAUGAAACUUUGGGAAGUUAUUUAAUAUAGUACUGGGAAGGUUUCUAGCAAAUAAAAUUUUUGAAAUAACUUUUCGCCUAAAAAUACUCAAGAUAAAUAUUCUAAUUUAUCUGUUAUAAUUCAACAAUCUGCUCUAAAUAUUAUCAUGAUGAUACGAUGAUUUUGUAAUGUAGAAAAUUAGGAAAGACAAAAUUCAGGAUGACACGGCAAUUUAUUUGAGACAAGAAUAAUGAUACAAUUCCAAGGCAAGAUACUAUUCCUUUAACUUCCAAUUACCGAGGGAACCAAUUAAUAUUGAUUUUAUUCAACCUAUCGAGUAUUUUUCAAGGGACCUGGAAAAAAUGUUCACAUUAUCGAGAGAUUCGUUAGACAAACCUUUACUCGGAUAAAACCCGGGCGAAGCCGGGUACAUCCAUACAAGAAUUAUGAUACAAUUCCAAGGCAAGAUACUAUUCCUUUUACUUCCAAUUACCGAGGAAACAAAUUAAUAUUGAUUUUAUUCAACUUAAAGAGUAUUUUUCAAGGGACCGGGAAAAAAUGUUCACUUUAUCGAGAGAUUCGUUAGACAAACCUUUAUUCGGGUAAAACCCGGGCGAAGCCGGGUACGUCCGCUAGUUGUUUUAUAUAUCUAUAUCUAUUUAUUCAUAUAUUUAUCAUUAUAUAAUCAUAUUUAUUCAUAUUCAUAUUUAUUCUGUAUUUAACCUUAUAUAAUCUUACUAGACGGGUGACCCGGGCUUCGCCCCGGGAUUGACCCGUGUGCAAAUCUACCCGAGUGAUAUAUAUUUAGAUAAGAUUCUUUUAUGAUUGUUUGUUAUUAGCAUUAUCUAUUUGUUUGCAUCAGCAUAAUUUAAUCUAAUCUUUGAUAGAAGGCGCUGUUCGUGAGGUAAGUAGAAUAAUUUGAAUAUAGUUUUAAUAAUUGAUUUAUAUAUUUUUUAAAAUAGCCUAUCGUCUUCCCCGUAUUUUUUUUUUUUUUUAACCUAUGUAUGGAAAUUUUGGUUUGAAUUAGUGAACUACUGCGAACUUUGAGAUAGCUUGCUAUUGAGUCAGAUGAAUGAGGAAUACUACAUAUUGAUUGGUAAACUGGGGGUUUAUACUCUCAGAUGGGUUGUGAAAAUGUAUCAAAAUUAAUAAGUGAUUUCCAAGUUUUGACAUUUGCUGAAAUACUAUUUAAUGUGUGUAUCUUGUAACUGAGAGGGCGGUAGGAGGGGAACUGACUGUAGUUAAAACACCAAUUUAUUGUAUUCAAGUACAGGAUAUAUAAGAAACUGAGUUUAAUACAAUAGUGAUGCAGUCUGGAGGUUAAAAUGGCGAAACUGUUAGGAGGGUUCACCAUUGAUGAGCCAUUCCGUCCCUCUUUCAAUUUUUAUUCAUUUCAGAAUAAGGGCUGUAGAAAUAAAUAGUGAUUAUAUACACUGCGUGACAUUGAAAAUGGAACACCAAGAAAUAGUGGCCAGAAAGUGAUGAAACUCGGCAGACAGAGAGAGACAGGGACGAACAAUAAGUGAUCUUUAUUUCAAAAUGAUAGUCAUAAUACAGAGAGCAAGAACGGCGUCGGCUUAGUAGCAAGUAGGACCACCGCGGACGGCGAUGCACGCAGCAACACAUCUAGGUAGAGAGUCAAUCAGAGUAUGGAUGGCGUCCUGAGGGAUGGCUCUCCAUUCCCUCUCAACCAUUUGCCACAGUUCGUCUUCUGAACGCGGCUGCGGCAAGGCAUGCAAACGGCGUCCAAUGAUGUCCCAGACGUGCUCGAUUGGUGAGAGAUUAGGAGAGUACGGUGGCCAGGGAAGCAUCUGUACAUCUUGCAGAGCUUGUUGGCUAAUGCGAGCAGUGUGCGGUCGGGCGUUAUCCUGCUGAUAAAGGGCAUUGGGUACCCCCUGAAGGUAGGGGAGUGUCACCGGUCGCAGCACAUCAUCAACGUAUCGUUGGGCCGUCAUAGUGCCCUGAAUACGAAGUAAAGGUGACCUGGAAUCAUACGCGAUUGCGCCCCAAACCAUGGUUCCACGUUGUCGCACGGUGGGGCGUUCCACAAUUGCUGCCGGAUUGGACCUUUCUCCACGUCGACACCACACGCGUACACGGCGACUAUCACUGGACAAGCAGAAACGCGACUCAUCUGAGAACACGACCCUGUGCCAUUCCGUCAUCCACGUCGACUUAGCCCGGCACCAUUCCAAACGUUGGCGCCUAUUCGGUGGGGUCAAUGGCAGUCUUCUUUGCGGACGGCAUGAGUGCAAGCCAUUAGCAACCAAUCGACGGGAAAUGGUUCUGGUCGAGAUGGAAUGAACUAGGGUGUCUUGCACAUGUUGCAGGAUGGCGGUACAAGUGGCUUGUGGGGCUGCCACUGCUUGUCGAAGGAUACGCCGAUCCACACGUGCUGACGUCACUCUGGUUGCACCGACAUUCCUAUAAAUUGCCACAUUUCCUUGUUCCAAUCAUCUUCUCCACAGUCGGUGCACCGUGGACGCACCAAGGUGUGUAUCAGCUGCGAUUUGACGUAUGGACCAACCUGCCCUUUUCAGUCCGAUCACCAUGCCCCUCGUAAAAGCGUCUGUCUGCUUGAACUGCCUCCGUUUACGAUGACCUGGCAUUCUCUGUUAUUACACGUGUCUUUUGACACAAGAACAAAAUUUCUACAAUGAUUUUCCUUGAAGAAAUAACGACACGAAUACUGUCCUUUCUGCAAGUUCCUUCCCUUAUAUCUUACUCCAUGUGCGCACGAGAGCUGCGCAUUUUACAUCAUUUGCAUAACUCGGUUAGGCGCGUCUACCCUGAAAUUUGCAUAAUUUUCUGGCCACUAUUUCUUGGUGUUCCAUUUUCAAUGUCACGCAGUGUAUAAAUUGGAAGAAAAGUAGCGCUAAAAUGUUUAUAAUUUUUAUCGAUAUUUGGCUCUAGGUGGAUGAUGUAUUAAAUAGUAUCUUUCAUAAAAAUCGCGAAAUCAUUAGGUGAAAGGUUUCUUUUAUAAACUUAAACCUUUCGCGCCUUACGAUUUCGUGGUUUUUAUGAAAUUAUAUAACCCAAGUAUCUAUCAUAGCUAUCAUGACUCUUCAUUGGAUGGUUCAGCAUCACAAAAUACCUGUCUAAUGCCUCUUUUCUCUACUCCUAUUUGUGUUUAUCCAUACUCUUACAACUUCAAAUAACAUCAUGUAUCAUCUGUUGGUGUGAAUGGCAGAAAUCAAAACAAAGUGUAACACAAGUACUGUGGCUUUUCUGCCAUAUAUUUUAUGUUUUACUCAACUCCCUCUUUUUAUUUUCUUGGUUCAGCCUGAAAGUCUGAAAGCGUUUAUAUAUAUUGUCGCGGAUAUAAAUAAAGCAAGGGCAAAUUUGGGAAUAAUAAAUUUAUUAUAAAGGUGGGUAUUUACCUUCUAGUUCUCCAAUAAAAUUAUCUAAAAGAGGUAUUUAUAGGGAGAGAGAGGGUCAGAUAAUAAUAAUACAACUUAUCCCAAGGUAAAGAUAAUAAUGAUGAGCGUCGUCAGCCACCGUCCCGUUUUCCUUAUUUGCAGAUAAGUUACCGAGAACCCCUCACACCUGUGGUCCCCCCGGGGUCCAGGGAUGAUUGACAGGUGUCCCAUCUAGAUGGAGCUUCUUGAAAACAUUUUACCUCCUAACCUGGUAAAUAUAUGAAGUACUACAUGAGAAAUUGUGAUGAGGUAUUUAACGUCCAUUUGUUUUUGUAAGUCUGCACCGCAUGUCUUCACAUGUAAGGGAGAAAGCAAAUUUAUCUAAAGAUUCUUAAAAAUAAUUGCAAAUGUGUAAUCACAAUAUACCAAUACCAAUUGCAAUAGGUUUAUUAAGUUAAAAUGGCAAGCAUCAGCUCAUCAUUAGGCAAAUUGUUUUGCAAAUACCUACAAUUUAUAUAAAAGUGUAGAAUUUGUUUCUUUGAUGUUGUAUCUUUAUUUCUCAGUCUAUACUCCAUAACUUAAUAAUAGACAAUCUGAAGGACAUUAAGUCAAAGUUCGACUGAUGCCAUAGAAAGUCAUCACUUUAUUUCAGUUCUGUCUCCCAAUGAUGAUUUUUAUAUUUGAAGAUGGAAUCUACCAACAGAUUUGUGGUUCCCCCAUAGGGAGCCCAUUAUCAAUAACAGCUGCAUAGAUAGUCAAGAAACUUAGCCCUGGAAGCUUUAUUCAUUUUAUAGAUGGUCUGUUGAAAUUAUUAUUAUUUUUUUGUUUAUCCCAAGUACACGGGGUAUAGGCCAUGAUAAUCAUGGUGAGUCGAAGUAGGCGACUGCUUUUACUGUAAGUGCACCACAUGUCUACACACGUGGAAAGCAGUUCGAUUUUGCACUUAUAAAUGUGCCAGAGCCCCGUUUGGGGACUUGCACUCGCUGGUGGGGUUGGACUUUUGCAAGAAUCGGGGGCCAUUGGGGCAUUUUUAAAAAUUUAUAUAUAUGGAUCAAUAGCUUUGAAGAAAUGAUACUGGUACUUCAAUGAUGUAUUUUUGUGAAUUUGAAAUAGAUGAAGAAAAUCAAAUUUCAAACACUUUGAACAAUUACAACCCCUAGAAUAAAUUCACAAUGGAGACAGAAAUCAAAGCAGCACUAUCUUAUUUAGAUAUACUCAUCCUUAUAGAACCGUACAAAGAUUUCAUUCUACCGUUUAUUACAAAAAAAAAGAAAUAGAACCAUCUUAGUUUUAAGUCAUUUGGUCCAAUAGGUCAUAAAAUAUUUAAGAUACUAACUAAAAUAAUUACUACGCAUUGCUCUCUACCUGUUUUGAAAAUGGAAAAUCUCAAUUUCUUUCGAAACCUGCAAAAGUCCGGAUUCCCGCUAGAAUUCAUACUGAAGCACACCUACAACCAAUUCCUCUCCAAGAAACAGACAGUAUAUCGAGCCAAUUGUUACCUGGAAUAUUUUACAACCAAUCAAAAACGGGCUUGUGAUUUAAAGUAAUUCGACAUAAGAUGUUUAUUCAGCAACUCUCAGUCCAGUGGUCAAAUCAUAAGAAACCCAAUUAUUAAAUCCCACAGUGAAAUAGAAGCUGUAAAUCAGCACAAUAUAUUCAGCAUCCUGAAAACAGCCUCAUAUAUAAGACAAACGAGCCAAUCAGUCGCCACCAGAAUCAAAGAACACAUCCAUAACAUUACAAAUCACGACAAUAGAUCAUUAGCAUAUCAGCAUAAAGAAUCCACCGGCCAUCAAAUCAACCUACAGGAUGUAAAAUAUUAUAUUUCCAAAAUCUAUUUUGAAAUAUAAUAGACUCAUUCUGUAAUCAUUAAUCUCAAAUAGCAAUAACAGUACAUAUAUAGACCGAAGAAUACCACAGAACCCUCAACACGCAGAUAAACCCACAGUAUUUUACCCAAGGGGUAAUGAUCUGUUAUCCGUUUAUCCAACAAUUUCUUAAUUAUUUUUAUAUUUUGGCCACUGGGAGGGUUCACCACUGAUGAGCCAGGCCCUCCCAUUUAUUUUUUAUUACAGUAAGGGCAGUAGAUAUAAUUGUAUAAUUUUAAAAAGCAUCAUACGCGUCUAAAAAAGUUUCAAUUCCUCACAAAACAGAUGGCGCGCUAAUGCGUCAUAUUAUGUAUAUACAGUUAAACCUGUCUAUAGCGCCCCCUCUAAAUAGCGCCUCCAUCUCUAUAGCGCCCGAUUUUAAAUACGUAAUACGAUUAGAUUUACAUUAAAAGUUACCUGUCUAUAGCACCCUAUUUUGGUGAGUCCCAAGAGGGGGCGCUAUAGACAGGUUUAACUGUACAUAUCAAUAAUUUUGUUUAGCCUAGAUAUAAAAAUUAUUUUCGUUAUAUUUGGUAUAAGUAAAUCAAUUUUUAUGAUAAAUAUUUGAAUUAUUUUAGAAUUUAGCUAAACUUUAAAAUAUGUAAUUUCCUUCAACACUUCUCUAUAUAAAUUGUAGGUAUUUGCGAAACAACUGGUCUGAUGAUUGAGCUAACGCUGGUAGGCAUUUUUAUCUUGGUAAAGAAACUUAAAGCAAUUUCAUGAUUGCACUUGCAAGGUGCCAGAGCCCCGUUUGGUUACUAGCACUUACUGAUGGGUUGGACAUUUGCAAGAAUCUUAUUUAUAGAGUGAAAUUAGAAAUUAUUUUAGACGCGUAAGAUUCUUUUUAAAAUUAAACAAUUUCUACUACCCUUACUGCAAUGGAAAAAUUAAUGAGCAGGCCUGGCUCAUCUAAAAUACCCAUUCCAAGAGUCUAACAACAGUAUCACUAUAAAAGGAAGAUCGAAAAAUGCAAUAUAACAUCGAAAUGGUAGAUUAAACUGGCGAAACCGCUGGGAGGGUUCACCACUGAUGAGCCAGGACCUCCCAUUAAUUUUUCCAUUGCAGUAAGGGCAGUAGAAAUUGUUUAAUUUCAAAAAGAAUCUUACGCGUCUAAAAUAGUUUCUAAUUUUCAUAACAGAUGGCGCGCUAGUGCAUCGUAAUAUAGUGAAAUGACCUUUUUCAUAUUUAGAAACAUUUUCAUCUGAACUAUAACCCAAAUUGAACCGUAUCACUUUAAAAUAAUUCAUAUACACAGCAUCCCAUUACUACAUAACAAACUGACUUGGUGAUAAAAAGUGUUCACCGUGUUCCAGGACUUCCGUCAACGACCUUGAUAGGUCUAUCAACCCAGGCGAGAACCUGGAACUCCGCCAAUGUCAAAAUCUCAUGAAGACAAUACAGGUACUUGUCUCUCUUUCUCUAUCUUGACCUCUAUAUUUAACCCUCAUCCUGUCUGACAUCGUGUCCAGGACAGAAAGUCCAUCGAAAAAGUUGGAAUUUUCCACGUUUCUCCCAAGAAAAUGGUAAGGAAGUUCAAUUUUAAAUUCUCAAGAAAACGAAAGAAAUCAUUUUUAUAUUUAAAAAGGUUUUGUCGUUCUUAGCCAGGUCCCAUUAAUUUUUCCAUUGCAGUAUGGGCAGUAUAAAUUGUUUAAUUUCAAAAAGAAUCUUACGCGUCUAAAAUA
rnacentral:piRNA from 1 species